UGUUGGUGAUGGCCACAUCUCGGUAGCCAUCACAAUGCAUUUUACACCACUGCUCCAAAGCCUUGAUGGCAGCCAUAGUCCUAGCGCGUCAGAGACACAGUGAACUCAGUAACGUUACAGACGAAGUGUGCAACAGGCAGAGGUUUCAAUGUAGAGGAGCCGGAGGAAAGACAGAAAAAAAAAAAAAGUCUCUGUUCAGGAUUUGACCGUGAACUGCGUCGCUGCAGCUGCGUCCUGUUUCCUUCUUCCACCUGAAUGACAGCCGAGUCUGCGGGACGAGCCGGUGGUGUGUGUUUCUCAGCUCAUUUCACUAAUUGACACCAUCUGCUGAUUCGUCGUUCGCAACUGUUGGGUAAAAUAGUUGAAAGUGCUGUGGAUCUCUGCCUCAUGCUCUCUGGCUUUGGCCCUCAACUUGGCGAUGCUGCAAGAGCGGAGCUCCUCUGAGGUCGGCCCCUCCAGCCUCGCCCACUUCCCUGACCUCUGGGUCACAGGCUGCAUAUGCACGCUCAGCGCAGCAGUCACAUCUUUUGUCCAUGGAUAGUUUUCUCCGUCCUGUCGUCUCUCCCAGUGCUCGCCAUCUGAACUCUCUGUCUGCUGUUUUAAACUCCUGCUCGGUGUCUCAGGCGUUUCAUCAUUGUCUCUUUUUACAUAAGGUCCUGCAAGCUGGCCCUGGAGUUUCAGCUGUCGUCUCAUCUUGGCACGGCGGUUUUGAAACCAAACCUGGAAACAAAUGACAAGUACUGUUGAUGUUGAAUCCCAUCUUUCACAGUAUAAAUAGUAUGCAGGAGGAACGAGUACAGAAACCAAUGACUGUUUCAAUGUACAUCCAGCUGUGGUUUGAACUCACCUAUGCCCUCUGUGAGUGGCCCCAUCCCGACUGCCUGUGUGGCCAGGAGCAAAGCUUCCUUGCAUGUCUCUGGCUGCAAAUAAUUCCUCAAGGAUUCAUAGCUGAUAAAGGGCCCUGGGAUCAGGAUCUGAGGUUGGGAACCCAGUCUGCUUGGGAAUGCAGGGAAAAAGUGAGCUGCAGCUCAGAUGGUGGUGAAAACUUUCAGCUGUCAGUGUUGUCACAGCUGAACUGGCGGGCUGAGCCGGCUUUGAUCAGCCCCAGACCGCUGCAGGAGGCAGCUGGUCAGAGCUGAGGUGAGUCACAGGAUGGUCAUUCCUCUACAAGCAGCAAGGACUGCAACUUGCUCACCUGCGGCCCUUUCAUCUGCACCUGUUCAAACACUAAAUAAAAGUCUUAGUGGAGGCAAGAAAGAGGUGAAGGGAGGAACACCAUCAGUGGACGACAUAACCAGCCAAUUAAAAACAACAUUUCACACUUCA